AGAUCAGUGAUCAUCGAUCUUUAGACGCACAUUGCGCCCCCUGGUAUUCCGGGGGGCAUGCCUGUUCGAGCGUCAUUUCACCACUCAAGCCUCGCUUGGUAUUGGGCAACGCGGUCCGCCGCGUGCCUCAAAUCGACCGGCUGGGUCUUCUGUCCCCUAAGCGUUGUGGAAACUAUUCGCUAAAGGGUGUUCGGGAGGCUACGCCGUAAAACAACCCCAUUUCUAAGGUUGACCUCGGAUCAGGUAGGGAUACCCGCUGAACUUAAGCAUAUCAAUAAGCGGAGGAA
rnacentral:misc_RNA from 1 species